UCCUUAACAAGUUGCGCUAAGCCCCAAUCCUGCCAACCUUCGUGCCCUCUCACAAUAUCGCUUUUUAUACCCGGUAGGUUAUCGAUUACACUUCUUGUCAUCCCAUUAACACGCUCUAGCUUGCCUAGAGUCUCUAAAGACUGUACGUUAUAUAAUAAAGUUUUGUAAAAUUUAUCUACCUCACUUGGGUUGGCAUCCUUGACAACAGGUAACUCCAAAAUAUUCUGCACGUAUGCAUUAACAAU